UUCAUUUACAAGCAGAGUAUGAAAAAACCUGAGAAUUUUCACAGUUCAAAUAAUGCACAGUGGUUUUCAUUUUUUGUUUGUUUGUUUGUUUGCUACGUAGGAACCCAAAAAUUCUAUGCACCGAUUGCAUUUGCCUGUUGAUCAGUUUAUUAAAGUUAAACCUAACCAAGUGACGAUUUUUAAAAAAUACUAGUAUAUACUUAAAUUCCACAAAACACUUUACAGGUAUCUCCGUGUCUAAGGAUUUCAGAAAAUACUAAUGUAAAGCAAAACCAAAAAUGCCUUUGCAUUAUAAUCACAGUUUUAAAGAAAAUUUAAAUAAAAAGGGAUAUGUUUUGAUCACAUUUUUAGUUACAGAGUUUUAUUGGUUAGAAAAAUAAACCUUUGGUGAGGUAAACAUGGACAUCAGCCAUAUGGAUUCAUAUUUGCAGAGUCAAACCUUACAAAGAGAUGCAAAAAUCACCUGCUAUAAUUGCUAAGAAGCAAUUUAGUUCCUGAGCAAUUUACCAUUGAGAUUUGGCAGAUGGAAAGCUGUUUAGAUGAUAGUAACACACCAUAACUGUACGUCAUUUAUAGUUUCAAACCAUCUCCACUCUCACACUAGCAUCAGUUAACCAGAAUCCUAUUUAAAGUUGGUUUGUCACUUGAACUUGCUACUGGCUAAGCACAGCACUAACCUGACCAGUCGCACACUGGGAUCAAGGACUCAGACUUUCUAUCUCACACUCACACUAACGUUAAGUAGCACUAUGAACUAUGCAGACACAGUAGUAACCUAAACCUAACCACUCCAUGACAGGCACAGCAAGGGUAAAACUACUAAAUCCCUGUUAGUCUGUCUCUCUCAAUAUCUUGAGUGAAAGGGUCUAGAAGAUUGCCUGCUUGGAAUUCUUGUUGUUUUUCAACCAGCUCAUGAUUGGACAGGAGAUCUAGCCCACAUCAUUGGGCAGACCUCUUGUCCAACAUGGCAAACUAAGCUGUUUAUUUGACAACCUCCCCCCUUUUCCGCCAACAAAAAGAAGAAACUCAGAAUUACAAAUUAUAUAUUUUUUUGUGGAUGUGUCAAUAUGGUGCUUUGGAGGCAUGGAAUUCGGACAAUCAAUCAAAAUUCAGCUGAAUCGCAGUUCGUUUGAACGAAUGCAAGUGUGCAAUUCUAAUACUCUGGACCACAAAUACAGUAAAAUUCUUUAGUAUGUUCUUGAACCGGUUAUAUGCUUCAAAAGUUAUAGAGUAUGGUAUACUGCAUCUCAUCAUCUCAGCUUUAUAUGCAUUGACAUAGACCUUUUCCAACUUUACAGCUGCGCCAGAAAAAAACCAAACACUUUACAAAAUUAAAAUAGCAUAAUAGUCCAUAUUGAGGUUUCCAUGUCAACAAAGCCAUUUGCUAGAGAAUUAUAGCCACGAAUUAUAUAAAAAAAAAA